rnacentral:rRNA from 1 species
GACGAACGCUGGCGGCGUGCUUAACACAUGCAAGUCGAACGGAAAGGCCCCUUCGGGGGUACUCGAGUGGCGAACGGGUGAGUAACACGUGAGUAACCUGCCCUUGACUUCGGGAUAACUUCAGGAAACUGGGGCUAAUACCGGAUAGGAAUCCUUGCUGCAUGGUGGGGGUUGGAAAGCUUCGGCGGUUUUGGAUGGACUCGCGGCUUAUCAGCUUGUUGGUGGGGUAGUGGCUUACCAAGGCUUUGACGGGUAGCCGGCCUGAGAGGGCGACCGGCCACAUUGGGACUGAGAGACGGCCCAGACUCCGACGGGAGGCAGCAGUGGGGAAUAUUGCACAAUGGGCGGGAGACGGAUGCAGCACCGCCGCGUGCGGGAGGACGGCCUUCGGGUUGUAAACCGCUUUCAGCAGGGGCGAAGCUUGUGGUGACGGUACCUGCAGAAGAAGCACCGGCUAACUACGUG